rnacentral:rRNA from 1 species
UACGUAGGUGACAAGCGUUAUCCGGAUUUAUUGGGCGUAAAGGGCUCGUAGGCGGCCAACUAAGUCAUACGUGAAAUCCCUCGGCUUAACCGGGGAACUGCGUCUGAUACUGGAUGGCUUGAGUUCGGGAGAGGGAUGCGGAAUUCCAGGUGUAGCGGUGAAAUGCGUAGAUAUCUGGAGGAAUACCGGUGGCGAAGGCGGCAUCCUGGACCGAGAUUGACACUGAGGAGCGAAAGCCAGGGGAGCAAACGGG